CAGUAGCCGCGGUAAUACGUAGGGUGCAAGCGUUAAUCGGAAUUACUGGGCGUAAAGCGUGCGCAGGCGGUUAUAUAAGACAGAUGUGAAAUCCCCGGGCUCAACCUGGGAACUGCAUUUGUGACUGUAUAGCUAGAGUACGGCAGAGGGGGAUGGAAUUCCGCGUGUAGCAGUGAAAUGCGUAGAUAUGCGGAGGAACACCGAUGGCGAAGGCAAUCCCCUAGGCCUGUACUGACGCUCAUGCACGAAAGCGUGGGGAGCAAACAGGAUUAGAUACCCCAGUAGUCCCUGUCUCUUAUAC
rnacentral:rRNA from 1 species